GCAAAAGGAGAGUUAUAGGAGAGUUCAGCUAUCCGGCUCGGUGGACCAAUAAUGUUUGAGCUAAUUCUGAAACCCGAAAAUAGCAAGUAGUACAAUGAAGGAGAUAUACUGAGCCAACAAAUAAAGAUACUGAAUAAACAUUCGACAACAGCAAAA